UGUUGCUGUUUUGAGCUCUUUUUCAGUGAGUUCUUCCUGAUUGUUUCUAGCCUUCAUUUUCUCAGUAAUGUAUUUUAAACGUAUGUCUUGGUUUCAGAAGCCCAUCAUCGCCAUAGGCGAUGUUGACCAUAUCUCUACUGCUCCGUGCUGCCUUUGCUCUGGGUAGUGCACCAGUUCUUGUUUCAGAGCCUUCAUUGGAGGGAAACACGGAACAACCUCCUUGAGGAUAUGGAUGAUGAGGGAAACGCCUUUAAACAGAACCAACCUCUUGGUAAGUCUUUACUGGGUAGACUCCCUUCACUAGAUGCUUCCAGUUUUCAGAGUAAGAUGUGUUGAGUAAACGUUCAAACAAAGAUGCUGCAAAAAAUAUUGCUACGACAGUUUUGAUUGAAUGUACCCCCUCGUGUUUCACUGUAGAGCCCCUUGAGG